rnacentral:rRNA from 1 species
CCGCCGGAGACACCACGAACUCUGUCUGAUCUAGUGAAGUCUGAGUUGAUUGUAUCGCAAUCAGUUAAAACUUUCAACAAUGGAUCUCUUGGUUCCGGCAUCGAUGAAGAACGCAGCGAAAUGCGAUAACUAGUGUGAAUUGCAGAAUUCCGUGAAUCAUCGAGUCUUUGAACGCACAUUGCGCCCCCUGGUAUUCCGGGGGGCAUGCCUGUCCGAGCGUCAUUGCUGCCCAUCAAGCACGGCUUGUGUGUUGGGUCGUCGUCCCCUCUCCGGGGGGGACGGGCCCCAAAGGCAGCGGCGGCACCGCGUCCGAUCCUCGAGCGUAUGGGGCUUUGUCACCCGCUCUGUAGGCCCGGCCGGCGCUUGCCGAAC